rnacentral:rRNA from 1 species
UUACCUACGGGGCGCAGCAGUGGGGAAUAUUGGGCAAUGGGCGAAAGCCUGACCCAGCAACGCCGCGUGAAGGAAGAAGGCUUUCGGGUUGUAAACUUCUUUUACCAGGGACGAAGGACGUGACGGUACCUGGAGAAAAAGCUCCGGCUAACUACGUGCCAGCAGCCGCGGUAAUACGUAGGGAGCAAGCGUUGUCCGGAUUUACUGGGUGUAAAGGGAGCGUAGACGGCAGCGCAAGUCUGGAGUGAAAUGCCGGGGCCCAACCCCGUAAAUGCUUGGGAAACUGUGCGGCU